rnacentral:rRNA from 1 species
AGAGUUUGAUCCUGGCUCAGGAUGAACGCCGGCGGUGUGCCUAAUACAUGCAAGUCGAACGCGUUGGCCCAACUGAUUGGACGUGCUUGCACGGACUUGACGUUGGUUUACCAGCGAGUGGCGGACGGGUGAGUAACACGUAGGUAACCUGCCCCAAAGCGGGGGAUAACAUUUGGAAACAGAUGCUAAUACCGCAUAACAAUUUGAAUCGCAUGAUUCAAAUUUAAAAGAUGGCUUCGGCUAUCACUUUGGGAUGGACCUGCGGCGCAUUAGCUUGUUGGUAGGGUAACGGCCUACCAAGGCUGUGAUGCGUAGCCGAGUUGAGAGACUGAUCGGCCACAAUGGAACUGAGACACGGUCCAUACUCCUACGGGAGGCAGCAGUAGGGAAUCUUCCACAAUGGGCGCAAGCCUGAUGGAGCAACACCGCGUGAGUGAAGAAGGGUUUCGGCUCGUAAAGCUCUGUUGUUAGAGAAGAACGUGCGUGAGAGCAACUGUUCACGCAGUGACGGUAUCUAACCAGAAAGUCACGGCUAACUACGUGCCAGCAGCCGCGGUAAUACGUAGGUGGCAAGCGUUAUCCGGAUUUAUUGGGCGUAAAGCGAGCGCAGGCGGUUUGAUAAGUCUGAUGUGAAAGCCUUUGGCUUAACCAAAGAAGUGCAUCGGAAACUGUCAGACUUGAGUGCAGAAGAGGACAGUGGAACUCCAUGUGUAGCGGUGGAAUGCGUAGAUAUAUGGAAGAACACCAGUGGCGAAGGCGGCUGUCUGGUCUGCAACUGACGCUGAGGCUCGAAAGCAUGGGUAGCGAACAGGAUUAGAUACCCUGGUAGUCCAUGCCGUAAACGAUGAGUGCUAGGUGUUGGAGGGUUUCCGCCCUUCAGUGCCGCAGCUAACGCAUUAAGCACUCCGCCUGGGGAGUACGACCGCAAGGUUGAAACUCAAAGGAAUUGACGGGGGCCCGCAC